GGGCCCGCACAAGCGGUGGAGCAUGUUGUUUAAUUCGAUGAUACGCGAGGAACCUUACCUGGGUUUGACAUACAGAGUAAUAAGUUAGAGAUAACUUAGCCGCUUGCGGACUCUGAACAGGUGCUGCAUGGCUGUCGUCAGCUCGUGCCGUGAGGUGUUGGGUUAAGUCCCGCAACGAGCGCAACCCUUGUUUUCAGUUACCAUCAUUAAGUUGGGGACUCUGAAGAGACUGCCGGCGACGAGCCGGAGGAAGGUGGGGAUGAUGUCAAGUCAGCAUGGCCUUUAUAUCCAGGGCUACAAACGUGCUACAAUGGCCAGUACAAAGUGAAGCAAAGCCGUGAGGUGGAGCGAACCACAGAAAGCUGGGUCUCAGUUCGGAUUACAGUCUGAAACUCGACUGUAUGAAGUUGGAAUCGCUAGUAAUCGCAUAUCAGAAUGAUG
rnacentral:rRNA from 1 species